UACGUAGGGGGCUAGCGUUGUCCGGAUUUAUUGGGCGUAAAGAGCGUGUAGGCGGCCUGGUAGGUCUGCUGUGAAAACUCGAGGCUCAACCUCGAGAUGUCGGCGGAAACCAUUUGGCUAGAGUCCGGAAGAGGAGAGUGGAAUUCCUGGUGUAGCGGUGAAAUGCGCAGAUAUCAGGAAGAACACCAAUGGCGAAAGCAGCUCUCUGAGACGGUACUGACGCUGAGACGCGAAAGCGUGGGGAGCGAACAGG
rnacentral:rRNA from 1 species